CUCCUACGGGAGGCAGCAGUGGGGAAUUUUGGACAAUGGGGGCAACCCUGAUCCAGCAAUGCCGCGUGUGUGAAGAAGGCCUUCGGGUUGUAAAGCACUUUUGUCCGGGAAGAAAACCUUGGCCCUAAUACGGUUGGGGGAUGACGGUACCGGAAGAAUAAGCACCGGCUAACUACGUGCCAGCAGCCGCGGUAAUUC
rnacentral:rRNA from 1 species